UACGUAGGUGGCGAGCGUUGUCCGGAUUUACUGGGCGUAAAGAGCGCGCAGGCGGUCGUUCAAGUCGAGUGUGAAAGCCCCCGGCUCAACUGGGGAGGGUCACUCGAUACUGAUCGACUCGAAGGCAGGAGAGGGUAGUGGAAUUCCCGGUGUAGUGGUGAAAUGCGUAGAUAUCGGGAGGAACACCAGUGGCGAAGGCGACUACCUGGCCUGUUCUUGACGCUGAGGCGCGAAAGCUAGGGGAGCAAACGGG
rnacentral:rRNA from 1 species